CUAAGAAAUGGCUGGCGCGUGCGCAAUCGUGCAUUGUUAUUCCUGUGGAGGGAGAGUUUGAACGCCGGUACGCGCGUUAAAGACGCGACUUUUACUCGUUGCGAAUUCGCGUUAUUUUCGAGGCUCGAUAAUAGCGGUGCUCUAUGAUGGUGCAUAAAUAAUGCGAGCACUAUUGAACUGCAAAAAUAUCGCACUUAUGUACUUCACGAGAGAAUUUAUUGUGCGUACUGAAUCUCGCGCUGUUACGCUAGUACAUGUUUUGUUUCUUUCUUUAAACUUUACUAUUCCACUCUCACCCGAGUGGGUGUUUUUCACAUUCUCGCUGCGCGUGUUGUGAGAUCAACUUGUUUCGUGUUUCGACUCCGAGAACGUCCAAGCGUUAUACUCGCAUAUUUAAUGUCUCCUUGUUUUUUAAACGAUGAACAUUUAUUUAGAAGAAAAGCAGAAAGAUUUAAAAGGGAUUACUGGGUCAAGAUUCAUGAGAAAAUUGUUUCAGGUUAUAUUGAUAAAACAAUGAAAAACGCAAUGUUCUAAAAUGUUGGUUUAUUCAUUGAAACAUGGUUAAGGAUACAAAAAGUACAUCAUACGAACACUACUACGAGAGGAAGCCAAAAUCAUCGAAGCUAUGACCACGUCAAAGCAAGCCGAUUUCCUGUAAAUAAUUAACAAUUGCUGAUUUAAUAAGAAUGUGCGCAGCGAUGGAAGCAGAACAGUUCGAAGUGUGAACUUGCUGUAUAAAGUCCGUCCAAUGAAAUUCACCACAUGCAUUAUUAAUUUAUUUACAUCAAAGGGAAUAUCAAUGUGUCUUACAAAACACAUGACAGUAUUUUAUUAAUCGCUUCUCCAAUAUCGACAAAUAUUGCAUUGUAAUUAUCGAUUCCUCCGUAAUUUCCUGAGACAAUAAGAUAAUAAGAAAUCAUGAUAACUUAA